rnacentral:rRNA from 1 species
CUACGGGGGGCUGCAGUGGGGAAUAUUGGACAAUGGGCGAAAGCCUGAUCCAGCCAUGCCGCGUGUGUGAAGAAGGCCUUCGGGUUGUAAAGCACUUUCAGUGGGGAAGAAAGCCUUGGGGCUAAUACCCUCGAGGAAGGACAUCACCCACAGAAGAAGCACCGGCUAACUCCGUGCCAGCAGCCGCGGUAAUACGGAGGGUGCGAGCGUUAAUCGGAAUUACUGGGCGUAAAGCGCGCGUAGGCGGUCUGAUAAGCCGGUUGUGAAAGCCCCGGGCUCAACCUGGGAACGGCAUCCGGAACUGUCAGGCUAGAGUGCAGGAGAGGAAGGUAGAAUUCCCGGUGUAGCGGUGAAAUGCGUAGAGAUCGGGAGGAAUACCAGUGGCGAAGGCGGCCUUCUGGACUGACACUGACGCUGAGGUGCGAAAGCGUGGGUAGCAAACAGGAUUAGAUACCCUAUAGUC